CGGACGAAUAUACAAGGUGCUGCAUGGUUGUCGUCAGCUCGUGCCGUGAGGUGUCGGGUUAAGUCCCAUAACGAGCGCAACCCCUAUCAUUAGUUGCCAUCAGGUCAAGCUGGGACUCUAAUGAAACUGCCUACGCAAGUAGUGAGGAAGGUGGGGAUGAACGUCAAAUCAGCACGGCCCUUACGUCCAGGGCUACACACGUGCUACAAUGGCCGGUACAAAGGGCAGCGAAGCCGUGAGGUGGAGCGAAUCUCAAAAAGCCGGCCUCAGUUCGGAUUGGAGGCUGCAACUCGCCUCCAUGAAGUCGGAAUCGCUAGUAACCGCAGAUCAGCUACGUUGCGGUGAAUACGUUCCCGGGCCUU
rnacentral:rRNA from 1 species